CUCUCACCCGCACACCACUCGUCGUCCCCUCCUCUCCUCUCUCCCAGAUCCACACGCCGCCGCCAUCCUCUCCUGGAUCUGACGGCAGCCCUCACCCCCUCAGCCCCCAUGCACCCACGGAUGCCACCCCCAACCCUCUCCCUCCCUCUUUGAUCUCUAUCGGCCCUGCUCUCCACCGCCCGCCUCGGCCUCGUCGGAGAUAGAGGCGUCGCCGCCCAGCAACCACGGCUGGCUUGCUCGCCGGCGAGCACGACGCUCCAUCAAGCUGGCCGGACCAUGGCGCGCGCGUGGCCUGGCUAGAGUCUCCGGUCACUAGGACGGGACGACGCCAUCGGCUCCCUCGGCUCCGGCGACUGCGACCGCGACCGGCGACUGGCGGCGGGCGUCUCUCCCAGUUUCUGGGACGAGUGAGGAUCAUGGAGUGCUUUGGCUGUUCACAACUCGAGCGGACAUGGUACUGAUCAGGUGCCAUGGUGCCUGGUGCUUGCGUGGUGAGAAGCAACCUCUGGCUAAUCCUCAGUUGAAGGAGUUUAUUCUGUGCAGCCGGAGGCGUACGAGUUCAAGAUCGGCGACCAGUUUUUUCAUAGGCCUAGAGACCCACACCUGGACCAAGUUAUCGAGAUGCUACAGAAGCACAAGGAUAAGUCUCAAGAUGAAAUCUAGCUAGCUGGCUACAGUAUGCCUUAUGCUCUCGUUGAUUUAUUUCUUUUGCACUCUUUUGCAGUUCUAUAUGAUGAGUGAGCUGGUAGCAGCUAGCUAACUGCAUCUAGAUUGUAACCCCGUUAUGGGAUGUGUGGUUGCGCAUGCGUUCUGCAUUGUCAAAUGUGUUCUUUGUUGUCACACAUCGUGUGCGAUGUUGUUCAUAGUUUUUAUAUUUGUUGUCAUGCGAUGCGGUCACUGAAUUGCUCAAAUUUGCUGGCCAAGUACAAUGUAGUGCUGUUCUAUGCUAGGCUACCAGGCUAGGUAACUUCUGUAUCAAAAUCAUGGGUUCUAAUCUCUACUAUUAUCUGCCAUGGAUCAACAAUGAUGCGUCACAGGUAGUAGUAGUAGAGUCGGACUUGGUGUUGCAUUGCCUAGUGAUUAACUCCUCGAUCUGUUCCUCACAGCAUGGGGUCAGCACUUUACCUCAACUUGUCUGCAUUUUCUCUCACACACUAGACUUGCUCAUCCAUAACAUAAUGGCGGUGCGUGAGUGAGUCCUGUAGGUAUGUUUGUUUUUAGGCUGGUUGUAGAUGGAUUUGUAUGUUAUGGUAGUGUGCUUGCUCUCCCUGCUCUCCUUUCGCUUGGAGAAGAGAAGAGCAGAGCAGAGCAGGGUAAGUAAAACAAACAACACUUGUUUGCAGCUAAUGCGUACAAACACACUACCAGUUCUCUAAUUAGAACACCAGAGCUGUGCAACUCCCUACUAGUAGAUACCAACCACAUGUAUCUACGGAUUUACUACUAAAUCCAAUUACAGUACUACCAGAUGUUGUGUGAUUCCUUCCAUUCUAUGAUAGAUAAAGGAAAUACUUCAUCAGUAACGAGACAUGCUAACUUGGUGCUGAAAUUUAUGAGCAACUAAAUUGUGCAGAAUUAAGUUUCACAUUCAAAUCGAUGCUGUGGCUUUAUGUCAUGUGUGCACCAUGGACAGAAAUUUCAGAGCCAACUGAAAGAAAUUCUACUCUUUACAGCAGAACAGUAUACAUCAUUACUUUGUUGGUUGCCUGUUGUAACUGUGUGCAAAUUGCUUAUCAAUAUCUUAUCAAGCACUGCCUGACUGGCUCGCAUCGCUCUGCUGUCGUCGUUGUGCCGUCAAUGCUCUUUCCUCUCUCUGUCUACGACAGUUGGAUUCAUGAACCAAGCCAAGAACCUGAAUCUUUUGUUAGGCCGCUAGUAAACUAGGCUGUACUCUUUCCAAUUGCAAGUUGGAUAGAACCUGCAAUUAAGUGCAGACAUACAUGGAUUCUCGUUCAAUUCGUAUGUAUGUUUCUAUGUGCAUGCUUACGACUUUGACUUAGGAUAGGAUUAUCAUAGGAAUAGGAAUUUUGUAGGAAAUGUGAUGGCAUGUAUCUCAAA